AAGGGUAUAGCUCAGUGGUAGAGUGUGUGCUUAGCAUGCACAAGGUCCUGGGUUCAUCCUCAGUUCCUCCA
rnacentral:tRNA from 1 species